rnacentral:lncRNA from 1 species
UUUUUUUUUUGAGGGUGUCAUGUUUCUUUUAUGCAACGUUAGUUUAUCCCUCUAGUUUUCAGUUGCCCGUGGAAGGUUUGAGGCCACAGGUUCAUCCUCGUGCUUUGUUUACGGCCGCGACGCAACGCACCGCAGCGCAAAGCGUUUGUGUGACGCGAGGGGCACUCUGGCCAUUCUCCUGCCAGGACCCGCGCCUUGGUUCAUCGGUUGUAGUCCUGCCCACUGAUCUGCGAGUCGGCCCGCGGCCGGCUCGUCAGUUGUCAUCGAGAAGUCGUGGAGUGCGCACGCGGCGGCGAGGUGAUAUCGCCGACGGAAAAGGCAUGUCCGUUAUCAUCCACCACCAAACGGAGGAGGGAAGAAGCUGGCGUGCGGGUGAGGCGACGUCCGUGACGGCGAGAGCUCGAGACAGGGACCCAGAUGGAAGGCAGCGAGAGCGUCCACGCAGCGCCGACUUGUGUUUCUGGCACCGGGCCCGCGGGGCAGUAACUUGCGCGCCGCCCUGCUCGUGCUGGACCUGGUCUUCCCGCCGGGUCGGGUCGGGCACCGGCCGGCUCCGGUCGGUCCUGGAACUGUUCGAAAUCUUUGCCGCCUUUCCUUUGCACUAGCGUGUCCACGAUCAAUGAAUGUACCGGCGAUGACUGGAAGAUCGGCAAGGAAAAAUGUAGUGUCGGCCCCGGGCCUUCCGUCCGGUUUGUAGCGUGCGUGCGUGCGUGGAAUAACGAGGUGGCCACCGUGCAGUUGACCCCCCCCAAAAAGAAUUCUGCCAUAGUGCCAAGACGGAGGAGGAUGAUGAUUGACUGACCAAAGAAGCGGGCAGAGCAGGAGCGGGUGGGUGCGCGGCGUGGCGCUGUCGCGCCGGCGUGCUGAUCGGGUCUCCCUGCUGCCCAUGCCACGCCGGUGGAGAGCGUCGGGCUGGUGGUAACCUGGGUUCUUCGACGACGACCGGCUACGCACGUACGGUCGUAAACACGUGCCGGGCCGGUGGUUCGAUUCCGCGACGCCCGCCCACGACGUGCCCAGGUUUGCCGCGUCCAAUGUCAAAAGGGAAGGCUGCCGCAGGUCGACGGGACACUUGGCGCCGUGCUACCACUCCGACACGACACCACGCGUGGAACCACGCAGCCCUUGAGCGCCGGCGGUGCGACGGCCAGAAAGAAACGAGCGCGCGAAGCUCCUGUAGCGUUCGCCGGUUUGCCCACCGUGCGACCGGGCGCGUGCCACUCUUCCAGAGGCCGACGGCCCGAUGCGAUCUUGGCCCAGGCCCAACAGUUACCGUCAAACCCGUUGGAUCAGCUUGCAACGGCGAAUGUUUUUCAAAAAGAAAAAAGAAAAAGAAGAAGCUUGCAAUGGCGAAUACACAUACAAUCACCUCCUCGCCUCUUCACUAAUCAGCCCACUUCACACAUUCAGUAUUUCUUUGUCUAAACAAAAACACAUUCAGUAUUUCUGCAGUUGUUCAGUAUUUUUGCAGUUAUCUACGCUAAUACCUGUGGGCUGUGGUAGUACUGUUUGACAUUAUGGAAACUUGAGAAGAUCGACUCCUUUUGUCCGAUUGUUAUUAAUUGCUAAGUAGGGAAAUAUGCAACUAUUAUGCUUUGAAUCACUAAGAUUUUAGUAGUAUUUAUUUUGGAUUUGUGCAAUCACCACACUAGAUAACACAAGAGAUCGAGUUUGAGUCAGUCCACUUCAUGUAUUCGAUAUUCUUGCAUGCCUCGACGUUAAGAUAUGUGGUAGUGGCAUUUGACUCCCGAAAUCUUGAGAAGAUCGACUCCUUUUGCCGAUUGUUAAAUGCUAGACCGGGACAUACACAACUAAAUUUGGUUCAAAUCACCUAAGAUCUUGGUAUUUAUUUUCAAAAAAUCAAAGUAGAUUUUCCUGCAUCAAUGUACCGAAACAGGGAAAAAUAAUUUCCACUUUGUUUUCGAAAGCUAGUCUACGAGAGCGGCAUCUUGCAAUUUGAGGGGCUUUUUAAGAAAAUAGCCUUCAAAAAAAUACGGGUAACCAAGCAACUAUUUUCACUCAAUUAUAUGGUGGUUUUCUAUUUCCGACUCUCUGCGUUGAAGCGGCAGAGUGGCCCAACCCAUUUAGCUAGGUAUAAUGGCUUUAAUUUUGUUGUUCUUCUUUCCCAUUUUUCUGAAACUUUUCUUGUUUUGUCAAAAAUUGUGCCCAUUUUUUCACGAAGCAAUUUUCUUAAAAUUUUAUUUUUUGGGACUUCUACAAAAUGUUCACUCGUUGAAAAACAAUGUUCACAGACAUUUUAAAGGUAUUCAUGUUUCCAAAAAUGUUCUUAGAUUUUUAAACCUAACCCGCCGAUCAUCGCUUGAGUAGUGACUAAAUCAUGCUUCACAUCUAGCAAUGGCGAAUAUGAAAUCACCGCCUGUAGAGAAGAUAGAGAUCAAGAUCGAAACAGUCCACUUCAGAACUCUUUCAUGUCUCGCCAUUAAGAUCUGUGAUAGUAUCUGAAAUCCCGAAAUCUCGAGAAGACCGACUCCUUUUGUUCAAUAGUUAAUUGCAGAGUAGGGAAAUAUAACUAAAUAUGUUUCCAAGCACAUAAGAUCUUAGUAUUUAUUUUAGAAAUUAGAGGAGACUUUCCUCCAUCAAUGUAUCUAAAUAGGAAAUAUUAAUUUUCCACUUUGUUUUGGAAAGCUAAUCUAAAAUACGAGGGCCAUACCUUGCAAUUUGGGGGGCCUUUAAGAAACGGGCCUUCAAAAAUAAUAAUAAUAAAAUGUGGACAACCAAGCAAUUAUUUUCACUCAAUUAUAUAGUUGUUCCCUAUCUGUCCCUAUUUGCAAUGAAGUGUCAGGCAAUCGCACAAGACCACCGCACCGAGCCACAGAAUCAGCCGCCCCAUUUAGUCACGUCAUGCACUACUACAUGACUGUUAUUUUUUCUGCCGGUUUUCCAUGGCUUUGUUUUUUUAUUCAUUUCCACCUUUUUCUGAAUUUUUCCUGUUUCCCCAAAUUUCUUCCCAAUAUACUUUAAAAAAUGUUCUCAAAGUUUCAAAAAAUUUGUGUGGCCUUUAAAAACUGUUGAUAUCUUUAAAGACAACGUUGACAUACGUUUUAAACACAUUCAAGUUCUUCAGAAUGUUCUUAAUUUUUUUGAACAAACCCAUCGAUUAUCAUCAGAGUGGCAACUAAACCAUGCUUCACAUUUUGCAACGGCGAAUAUGCAGUCAACCCCCUAGACAACAAAAAGAUCGAGAUUGAAUUAGUCCACUCCAGAAUUUUUGCAUGUCUCGCCAUUAAGAUAUGUGAUAUUAUUUGAUAUCCUGAAAUCUCGAGAAGAUUGACUCCUAUUGGUUGAUUGUUAAUUGGUAAGUAGGGUAAUAUACAACUAAUUGUGCUUUGAAGAACCUAAGAUCUUAGUAUUUAUUUUCAAUAUCAGAAGAAAUUUGCCUCCACCAAUGUAUUGAAGUAGGAAAAAUUAAUUUCCCACUUUAUUUUGGAAAGGUAAUCUAAAAUAGAAGGGGCGUAUCUUGCAAUUUGAGGGCCCCUUAAGAGAUGCAAUGUGGGCCUCCAAAAAAUAAAAAAUGCGGAAAGCCAAGCAUGUUUUUUCACUCAACCAUAUGAUUUUCUCAUCCUAGAAAACAUGACGAAAAAUGAGGAAAGAAACACAUUCUUUUUUGUUUGAGGAACAUAGUAAAGAUGCAGACCCUCGGUACAUGAAUUUUAUACCUAGCAAAACAACAAUAAGAGGAAAUAAACGCCAUCCUACCGCACGACUUACAAUACAUUGAAUCUAGUUAGGCCAGACUCCAUGGCACAAAAUUAGAGGACGUUGGGCAGGAUCCAUCCAUCCUUGAUUCUUUUGUUAAGUGGAUUUGCAGAUGCGGAGGCCUGGGUUCAAUCAUCCUUUAUCCAAAGAAAAUGUAGGGUUUGAGAAUUUGCAUUACAUGACCGACAGGCCAUUUUGAUUCGCGUGAUUCCAAUGGCGAGAGAAAACAAAAGGAGAUUGCAAACCAUGCUCGCUCAUAUCCUAUAGGAUUUUGUUUGCACCAAAGUCUGAUUGCAAUACACGCAACAAAAAACACUUUCCGAAAGGUUUCAGUAGAUAGAAAAUUUUCUUAUGAAAUAUAGUACAAAAUAUCUUAGGACAUUUCUUAUAGUACUCAAUCCUAACAAGCCAUGUAGAAAACAUUUCCAAGGAACCCAAUCCUCCAUAAUUCAUAAAAAAAUGCUUUGAAUCUAAGAGGCCUAAGAUAUUAAGACGACCAACUUAGUUGAAAGAAUGCUCAAGGUGCCAAUCAAUCUAUUUGCCAAAAAAACGUGCCAAUCAAUCGAAUCCCACAAGUCAAGUGAGAUAAAGAUGAAAAAAGAACCUAGAAAACAAAACCGAGGAGACUGUAAGAAGACAGAACAUUUUUUUAGGAUGAAGAGGUCAAGAAGAGAAAAGUCUUGCCCAUAAGAAGCAGGUGUAAAAGUGAACCGUACAACAUCUGCGCAGUUACGGUGGCAAUCUUUUUCUAAUGGAAGCCUGCGUGAGUAAAUGCUGGCAAGAAGCAUGUCAUAAACGGCAUUCAGAGGGCCAGUGACGCCUGAGCUCAUUGGGCGCACAAGAUCGCCAAGUACAAUUGUCAGCCAUGGGCAGUCUGACCCUGUCACGAAGUUAGGGACACCAUAAAAGUCAGCCACUGCCUAGCUUUGCCAUGGCGAUCAUGGAGACGCAGUGCAACAGUGACAGUUUGGUGCCUGAAGGCUGGUGUCCUUGCUAAACCCAAAUAAGCAACACAUGAGCGUCAUACUGUGGCACUUAAAUUAUACUGUAAGUGCAAAGCUGAACCCAAAUACAGAUUCUCAAAAAAUUGCAUUUUAAAAUAUUUAGCUGAGAGAGAGAGAGAGAGAGAGAGAGAGAGAGAGAGAGAGAGAGAGAGAGAGAUCAGUUGUCAGGUUUAAGCAGUCGCUUUCAGCGAUGAGUAGCGAGUAGGCAGACCAGGAUAAUGAUUGGGAGAUCAUGCGGUUUGGACGCAUUACCCAACACAACCUCUUUCUUUGCAAGUCUUUACUUUCUAUUUAACCAGCCUGCGUCAUGUGCUAGCCAGGAGCAGGACAUCAGCACACCAUUCUCUCAAGUUUCAGCAUGGAUGUCUGAAUCACUUACAUGGCAGUCAAAUGGCCCUGACUUGGGCUUGCUGCUAACCUUACCUUAACCUGGGUUUAGUUUGCUGAUAACCUUACCUUUGCUCAACUGAAUCUGGAAAUAUUGGCAAAGUGUUCCUCCUAACUGAUUUUGGCCGGCCUAUUUCUGCAUCUCUGUCUCCAUGCUGAGUUUGAGUGUAAGCAGCAGCAGCACGGCCAAAUGCUGUUUAGAUAAAAAACAAGGGAGAUUAGUGUACUCAUGCUACCAAACUGAUUUUGGCCAGCCCAUUUCUCCAUCUCUGUCUUCAUGCUGAGUUUGAGUGUGAGCAGCAGCACUUCCAAAUGAUUAUCCAAAAGCUGUUUAGAUAAAAACAAGGGAGAUUAGUGUACUGAUGCUACCAAACUGAAUAGUUUUUUACUUUCUGUACUGGUGCUACCAAACUGACCUAGGGAGGGGCAGUUUCUUGCUUUCCGUCCGAUGGAGACGAGCAAGUGCUGCUGGACAUAUCUGGAAUGUGGUGGUUGUGGCAAGAACUAAUCACUGAACAUAUAAACAGAGCAGAGUAUGCAUGGCUCCAAAAAAAGAAAAGAACGCAAUGCAGAGAGUUCAGAUCAAGAUGGAGAAAUGCUUCAGGAAAACUAAGGAUGCAACAACAAAAAAGGAUAUAAAUUGACGACUGUGACUGACAUGAAAAGUUGAUGAAGAUUCUACAAUAGUCCCCAUUUCUGCCGGCCUGCAACCAAGAUCUGAGGUUCUUCUGCAGCACAACUGGCUUCGACGCUCAACAACAGAUACAGGACCAGCACAGGAGAAAUCCUUGAACCAUAUCCCGAUGAUAAACCAAUAAAACACCCCCAACAUACACUGUAUUAGGGUUUGACUGACUCACAUUACAUGAUACACGAUCAAUUGCCAAAGCAUUGACGAACUAAAACUAUUCAACCCUGAAUCUAUCUAUCGACUCUCAUGACAUGACGCACUUCGACUUCAACCUCAACUCUGAUGAUGAACCAUCUCUUGCUCGACCCACAAUUCCCGGCAGGAAAUCCAUCUCUUGCUCCGAAUCGCGACUCCUCAG